rnacentral:rRNA from 1 species
UGGAGAGUUUGAUCCUGGCUCAGGACGAACGCUGGCGGCGUGCCUAAUACAUGCAAGUCGAACGCCUCUUUUUCCACCGGAGCUUGCUCCACCGGAAAAAGAGGAGUGGCGAACGGGUGAGUAACACGUGGGUAACCUGCCCAUCAGAAGGGGAUAACACUUGGAAACAGGUGCUAAUACCGUAUAACAAUCGAAACCGCAUGGUUUYGAUUUGAAAGGCGCUUUCGGGUGUCGCUGAUGGAUGGACCCGCGGUGCAUUAGCUAGUUGGUGAGGUAACGGCUCACCAAGGCGACGAUGCAUAGCCGACCUGAGAGGGUGAUCGGCCACAUUGGGACUGAGACACGGCCCAAACUCCUACGGGAGGCAGCAGUAGGGAAUCUUCGGCAAUGGACGAAAGUCUGACCGAGCAACGCCGCGUGAGUGAAGAAGGUUUUCGGAUCGUAAAACUCUGUUGUUAGAGAAGAACAAGGAUGAGAGUAACUGUUCAUCCCUUGACGGUAUCUAACCAGAAAGCCACGGCUAACUACGUGCCAGCAGCCGCGGUA